rnacentral:rRNA from 1 species
CAGCAGCCACGGUAAAACGAAGGUCCCGAGCGUUGUUCGGAAUCACUGGGCGUAAAGGGAGCGUAGGCGGCGUGGUAAGCCAGAUGUGAAAUCCCGGGGCUCAACCCCGGAACUGCAUCCGAUACUGCCAUGCUAGAGGAUUGGAGAGGUAGCUGGAAUUCUUGGUGUAGCAGUGAAAUGCGUGGAGAUCAAGAGGAACACUCGUGGCGAAAGCGAGCUACUGGACAAUAACUGACGCUGAGGCUCGAAGGCCAGGGUAGCGAAAGGGAUUAGAUACCCCUGUAGUCCCUGUCUCUUAUAC